GAUCCUGGAGGCCAACACCCGGCAGCGCGAUGCGCCCCCGGGUGCUUUUUGG
rfam:Mesorhizobium loti strain TFLA 01-765 contig_7, whole genome shotgun sequence.